ACCACCUUUUAAUAAAGUCCAGAGAGGCUUAAAAGGGUGUUAUGAGCGAACCGGCUUAUUCAAGAUGCACGCAACCCCGGUUUUACCGGGAUUAUGCCGGCAAGCUCAUAGUCAAGCACCCUGUUGAACAUAAAACAGGGUGCUUUUUUUCU
rfam:Bacillus selenatarsenatis SF-1 DNA, contig: BSSF00048.